UUGUGAUCUGCCCGCCUUGGCCUCCCAAAGUGUUGGGAUUACAAGUGUAAGCCACCGCACCCGGUUCAAAUAUUUUCUUUGUAUUACAUCUACAUUCACUUUAUAAAUGCUUGUCCCUCAUCCUUCUUCAGCAAAGCCUCCUUCUGGUUUGGUGCUGCCUGAUUCAUGAAUCACUGUUUGCUCAAAUAAACUCCUUAAAAAAAAAAAAAAAUUGCAUUGUGCCUCAGUUUACCUUUUUAAAAUGGGGUAUCCAUACUGUAAAAUGCUUAUGAUUGGGUCCUUUAUCUCCACUCAUUUCCCAGUAUGCCCUUGCAAAGAGCUGGGCACAUAACGGAGCUGCCAAGCUCUAUAGCCACUAGUGAAUGGAAGCCCUCAGUUUACAGAGAGGAUCGAAGACUAGCCUCAGGCACAGCACAAGAGAGGCUGCAUGGCAAGGAUUCUGCCUCUGUGAGUAAACAGAAACAUUCCAGCGGAAACUCUGGGCUAUUUUCCCUUUGUACCAGAGAAAUCUGUCAAAUUCCUUCAUUUUCAGGUAGAAAGCAUAAACUUAGCUAAAUCUUUUUUUUGUUUUUUUUCCAAUUAAAUACUUUCUUUUACCAGAAUCCCAAUAGGUCAAGGGACAGUUUGUUUCUGCCUUCUGAAGGCACUAGAGGUGGCCUCUUACCAGAAGGCCCACGUGACUGAGGGUCUGGUUACCUGGGUCCUAGGUCUGCCUCUAACUAACUUUGUGUUCUACGCACGUCACGUUCUGCUCUCCUGUGGACUCAGUUGCCUCAUCUGUAAAAUGAACAGAUUGGGCUACGGUCCAUAAUAGAGUUCUUAGCCUGAGACUGCUUCAUGGGUGGUGACUGUGUAUACAGGUUCCUGGGGAGGGGUUGUACAAUCCGUCAGACUCUCAGAGGGGGAACUGUGACCUUUCAAUGUAAAAAUCAACUGGAUUGCACCCUCUUUGAGGUCUUUUCAGGGCCAACAGUUGGUUCUGAA
rnacentral:lncRNA from 1 species